CAGCCGCCACGGUAAUACGUAGGGUGCGAGCGUUAGUCGGAAUUACUGGGCGUAAAGCGUGCGCAGGCGGUUGUGUAAGACAGGUGUGAAAUCCCCGGGCUUAACCUGGGAACUGCGCUUGUGACUGCACAGCUAGAGUAUGGCAGAGGGGGGUGGAAUUCCACGUGUAGCAGUGAAAUGCGUAGAGAUGUGGAGGAACACCGAUGGCGAAGGCAGCCCCCUGGGCCAAUACUGACGCUCAUGCACGAAAGCGUGGGGAGCAAACAGGAUUAGAUACCCCUGUAGUCCCUGUCUCUUAUAC
rnacentral:rRNA from 1 species